rnacentral:rRNA from 1 species
AGCUCCAAUAGCGUAUAUUAAAGUUGUUGCAGUUAAAAAGCUCGUAGUUGGAUCUGGGGCUCGGACUCGCUGUCGAUCGCUGUGCGGUGACGGCGUGCUCCAGCUCUGCUUGCCGGUGUCUGUUGUGGUGUUCUUAACUGAGCGCCGCAGCAGCACGGCACGUUUACUUUGAAAAAAUUAGAGUGCUCAAAGCAGGCAAGUCGCCUGAAUAGUGUUGCAUGGAAUAAUGGAAUAGGACCUCGGUUCUAUUUUGUUGGUUUUCGGAGCUUGAGGUAAUGAUUAAGAGGGACGGACGGGGGCAUUCGUAUUGCGGUGUUAGAGGUGAAAUUCUUGGAUCGCCGCAAGACGGACUACUGCGAAAGCAUUUGCCAAGAACGCUUUCA